AUUGAACGCUGGCGGCAGGCUUAACACAUGCAAGUCGAGCGAGCGGCGGACUGGUGAGCAAUUUCUGGGAAACUGGCUGACGGAGGGGGAUAACUAGGGGAAACGGUAGCUACUACCGCAUACCAUCAGUUCUGCUCAGAGGGGUUUAGCUAGUGGGUGGGGUAAUGGAUCACCUAGGCGUCGAUGCCUAGCAGGUCUGAGAGGAUGACCAGCCACACUGGAACUGAGACACGGUCCAGACUCCUACGGGAGGCAGCAGUAGGGAAUAUUUGACAAUGGGCGAAAGCCUGAUGCAGCCAUGCCGCGUGUGUGAAUAAGGCCUUCGGAUUGUAAAGCACUUUCAGCGAGGAGGCGUUACUCGCAGAGGAAGCAACGGCUAACUCCGUGCCAGCAGCCGCGGUAAUAC
rnacentral:rRNA from 1 species